AAUUCUCAACCUCAUGGGCUUUUUCUACGAAAGAACCCAUAAGGCUUGGGUUUGUGGGAGCUGCUGGCUUCUUAGAAGUUGGCUCUUCUUAAAUACAUUAGCGAGAUCAUCACUGAUCAUCUUUGAUAUGAUAAUUAUCUAUGUCAUUGGUGAACAAGCUUCCUGAAUAGGGGAGAGGAAGGUCUUGCUUCUAACAGUCUCCUUUGGUGAGACAGUAUUCCUGACC
rnacentral:misc_RNA from 1 species